rnacentral:misc_RNA from 1 species
AGGUCGUAACAAAGGUUUCCGUAGGUGAACCUGCGGAAGGAUCAUUAACGAUUUGUGAGGGAUGUCCAGUGCUGGUCCUUUGGGGCAUGUGCACGUUCUCCCGAUCAUCCAUCUUUACCCCUGUGCACACUUAGUAGGGAACUCGAAAGAGGACCCUAUGUAUUUUACACACCAUAUGUAUGUCAUUAGAAUGUCAUUUUAUCAAGUAUGCUCGCGAGGGCAGAAAGAAACAAAUACAA